rfam:Acyrthosiphon pisum strain LSR1 Contig19177, whole genome shotgun sequence.
CCGUGUUCUGUGACUGACUCGGCUGGCGUCCGAUCUGUCACAGAACAUGGGA